rnacentral:rRNA from 1 species
UACAGAGGUCUCAAGCGUUGUUCGGAUUCAUUGGGCGUAAAGAGCUCGUAGGCGGUUUGUCGCGUCUGCCGUGAAAGUCCGGGGCUCAACCGUCCGGAUCUGGCGGUGGGUACGGGCAGACUAGAGUGAUGUAGGGGGAGACUGGAGUUCCUGGUGUAGCGGUGAAAUGCGCAGAUAUCAGGAGGAACACCGAUGGCGAAGGCAGGUCUCUGGGCAUUAACUGACGCUGAGGAGCGAAAGCAUGGGGAGCGAACAGG